rnacentral:rRNA from 1 species
GAUGAACGCUGGCGGCGUGCCUAAUACAUGCAAGUCGAGCGAACAGACGAGGAGCUUGCUCCUUUGACGUUAGCGGCGGACGGGUGAGUAACACGUGGAUAACCUACCUAUAAGACUGGGAUAACUUCGGGAAACCGGAGCUAAUACCGGAUAACAUGUUGAAACGCAUGGUUCAACAGUGAAAGACGGUCUUGCUGUCACUUAUAGAUGGAUCCGCGCCGCAUUAGCUAGUUGGUAAGGUAACGGCUUACCAAGGCAACGAUGCGUAGCCGACCUGAGAGGGUGAUCGGCCACACCGGAACUGAGACACGGUCCAGACUCCUACGGGAGGCAGCAGUAGGGAAUCUUCCGCAAUGGGCGAAAGCCUGACGGAGCAACGCCGCGUGAGUGAAGAAGGUCUUCGGAUCGUAAAACUCUGUUAUUAGGGAAGAACAAAUGUGUAAGUAACUAUGCACGUCUUGACGGUACCUAAUCAGAAAGCCACGGCUAACUACGUG